rnacentral:rRNA from 1 species
AUGUCCAGCGCCAGCUUCUCCGACAUGGAGUUCCGAGCCAUCAUCCGCAUGAUCACGUCCCCGCUCUGCGCCGCGUCCAUCAGAGACCACGGGCCGAUGUCCGACAUGCCGAACGUCACCACCAUCUGCAGCAGGAGAAUCCCGGUGAUCUGCUGCAGGUCACCGGCAGCUCCAGUGGUCACCUCAGAAUCUCCGAAUAUGAUCUCCUCAGCAGCUCUGCCGCCAAGGCCGCCGACGAUUCUGGCAAAGAGCUGCUGCCUAGAGAUGAGCGUUGGGUCAUCCAUGGGAAUGAACCAGGUGAGACCACGGGCUUGA